UACAGAGGGUGCAAGCGUUGUCCGGAAUUAUUGGGCGUAAAGGGCUCGUAGGCGGUUUGUCGCGUCGGGAGUGAAAACACCGGGCUUAACUCGGUGCUUGCUUUCGAUACGGGCAGACUAGAGGCAUGCAGGGGAGAACGGAAUUCCUGGUGUAGCGGUGAAAUGCGCAGAUAUCAGGAGGAACACCGGUGGCGAAGGCGGUUCUCUGGGCAUGUCCUGACGCUGAGGAGCGAAAGUGUGGGGAGCGAACAGG
rnacentral:rRNA from 1 species